UACGUAGGGCGCAAGCGUUGUCCGGAAUUAUUGGGCGUAAAGAGCUCGUAGGCGGCCUGUUACGUCUGCUGUGAAAUCCCGGGGCUUAACCCCGGGCGUGCAGUGGAUACGGGCAGGCUGGGGGCAGGCAGGGGAGAACGGAGUUCCCGGUGUAGCGGUGAAAUGCGCAGAUAUCGGGAGGAACACCGGUGGCGAAGGCGGUUCUCUGGGCCUGUACUGACGCUGAGGAGCGAAAGCGUGGGGAGCGAACAGG
rnacentral:rRNA from 1 species